rnacentral:lncRNA from 1 species
AUGGUUGCUAAAGCAGGGAGCAUUAUGUUCUCUGCCCUCCAAGGGGAUGGUGGGGGCACACGUCUUGAAAGACAGCUAAGCCACCACCAAGAGUGCAAGGAAGAGGCACUACUAUCUCAAAAGGGGCUUGAGGACCCAAAGGAGGAACCCUGUUUUUCUCAUACCUGGGCAACACACAAUUGCAGAAUCUGCCCCAAAUUCUAUCUACAUUGUGACAUAAGACAUGAAAGCAGCGGGGAGGAAAGCCUGGGAAGGGGGAUAGAUGGCGAGCUGUGGGGCGUCAUCUCCCAGGCAGGCGCUCUGCUUCUCAGAAUGGAGACGGAAAUCGUGAACGCUACGCAGACCCACGGCUCAGCCAAGGUGGUUCCUGUGGGUGCUCAUUUCACAUAUUCUCAGAAACCUGAGAACUGGGGACUUGGACCUCAUUGCUCCCAAGCAACACUGACAGAGGGUAGAAGUCGUGGGCAGCUACAGAACACAGACCUCACACCCGGGAGCAGUGCCACCAGGGACACAGGUCUCCCGAAGUACAGCUGCAACCAUCCCGGGAGGAAAGUAGCUAUUCUAGGGCCUAGACCAAGCCUGACAGGCUGAUAAGGCCUACGGAGCUUCAAGGGAACGGGUCAUCUAGAUGAGCCCCAGGCCCACCCCUACCCCAGCUCAGCCACAAG